rnacentral:rRNA from 1 species
AUUGAACGCUGGCGGCAUGCCUUACACAUGCAAGUCGAACGGCAGCACGGGGCGAACCCUGGUGGCGAGUGGCGAACGGGUGAGUAAUGCAUCGGAACGUGCCCAGUAGUGGGGGAGUAACUAGUCGAAAGAUUAGCUAAUACCGCAUACGACCUAUGGGUGAAAGCGGGGGACCGUUUACCGCCUCGCGCUAUCGGAGCGGCCGAUGUCUGAUUAGCUAG